rnacentral:snRNA from 1 species
UCCGCACGAGGGGACGUCGAACGUAUCUCCUUCUUGCCUUUUACCAGAUGGAGCCGGGCGUCCGCUUGGCUAAUGCGGAUAUGCAGUUUUUGGAAUCCCUCUCUGAGGGUA